UGGGGAAUAUUGGACAAUGGGGGCAACCCUGAUCCAGCCAUGCCGCGUGAGUGAUGAAGGCCUUCGGGUUGUAAAGCUCUUUUGGCGGGGACGAUGAUGACGGUACCCGCAGAAUAAGCCCCGGCUAACUUCGUGCCAGCAGCCGCGGUAAGACGAAGGGGGCUAGCGUUGUUCGGAAUUACUGGGCGUAAAGCGAGUGUAGGUGGUUGUCAUAGUCAGGUGUGAAAGCCUUGAGCUCAACUCAAGAAAUGCACUUGAUACUGGGCGACUAGAGGACCGGAGAGGAUAGUGGAAUUCCCAGUGUAGUGGUGAAAUACGUAGAGAUUGGGAAGAACACCAGUGGCGAAGGCGGCUAUCUGGACGGUUUCUGACACUAAGACUCGAAAGCGUGGGGAGCAAACA
rnacentral:rRNA from 1 species